rnacentral:misc_RNA from 1 species
GAAAUGCGAUAAGUAAUGUGAAUUGCAGAAUUCCGUGAAUCACCGAAUCUUUGAACGCACAUUGCGCCCUCUGGUAUUCCGGGGGGCAUGCCUGUCCGAGCGUCAUUGCGAACCCCUCAAGCACGGCUUGUGUGAUGGGCCCUCCCGCGUCUUGGUCGUCAAGACGGGCCCGAAAUGCAGUGGCGGCUUCGCGGUUAUCCGAUCAGCCAGAGCGUAUGGGGACUUUCUCUCUGUCACACGCCCGCGGCGCGGACCGACGCCUGUCGACCUUCAUUCAUCGUUUUCUCGGUUGACCUCGGAUCAGGUAGGGAUACCCGCUGAACUUAAGC